GAUGAACGCUGGCGGCGUGCUUAAUACAUGCAAGUCGAGCGAACAGACGAGGAGCUUGCUCCUUUGACGUUAGCCGCGCACGGGAGUAACACAUGUGGAUACUCCCCUUAUCAGUCUGAGAUCAUCUCGAGACUCCGGAGCUUAUCCCGGAUGAUCUCCUGCAGCGCAUUGUUCGAUAGUGAGAGUCGGCUUUGGUGUCUCUUCUCGCUGCUUCUGAGCCGCAUUAGCUAGUUGGUAAGGUAACAGCUUAUCACGGCAACCAUGCGUAACCGACCGGAGGGGGUGAUCGGCCACACGGGAGCGGGGACACGGUCCAGACGCCUACGGGAGGGAGCAGUAGGGAAUCGGCCGCAAUGGGCGAAAGCCUGACGGAGCAACGCCACGUGAGUGAUGAAGGUCUUCGGAGCGUAAAACCCGGUUAUGAGGGAAGAACAGAUGUGGAAGGAACUAUGGACGGCUUGACGGUAACUGAUCAGAAAGCAACGGCUAACUACGUG
rnacentral:rRNA from 1 species